AAUCAUGCCUAUUAUUUUUAUCAACUUUCAUCUAAAAAAAUUGGUUCAAUGAGCAUGAUUAGAGAAUGUUAAGGUUAUUGUUUCUUUGUGGUUUUAUUGAGUUUUAGCUACUGCCCUAAGGGAUAUUUUAUGAUGAAUUGUUGGAUAAAUAAUUGAUAGGUGGCGAAAGCUUGGAUGAAUGGUAAGUUGGCAAUGUUAUUUAAUCCUUAUAAUGAAAUGCUCUUGAGUGGUAUGGUCCACAUUUGGUGGCGGUGUUUACAUGAUGUUUAUGAAGUUAUAUGUGUAUUGUGAGAAUGGCCUUGAAGGUAUGAUAUGUGAAAUGAAGUGACUAUUUUCAUAUGUAUAUGCAUGGUAUGUGUUCAAAGGUUGAAAUCAGUAUCUUGAAGGGUUUAUGUCUAAAUGAAUUAUGUAUUUGAUGUGUCAAGUAUGAUAAUGUGUGAAUUGUGAUGAAUGUGGGUUUGAGAAUGUUUAGAAGUCAAUGAUAUGAAUAAUGGUUAUAAUGUGAAAGGUGCGCUCACAUGUACUCACUCACACAUACACUUGAAUGCAUGAAUUAAUUCAAUGAAUGAAAAUGGGGGAUUGUAGGGUAGACACUUUUCCCGAGUAGAGAUUAUGUGCCUAGACCAUCCCUACUAUUCCUAAGUAACAAAAGGGGGGAAUUUAAGGUGAAUACUUAUCGUGAGUUGAGAUGAAGUGUUUAGUACCAACAUCUCUAUUUUCGAUGAGCUUUCCAAAGAUAGGUUGGUGGUCGAAUACCCUUUGUGAGUUGAGAUGCGGCUCUUAACCUAAAGAAAAUGAAUGUUUAAGACUCUGUAGGGGAGUUAUGGUUAGCACCGAGAGGAUUUGCAGAAGAGGUGGGUACACUUCGCGAGUAGAGAUGUCGUAUCCAAUGUACCUCUUGGGUUCACCGUAAGUAUGCUUUAUGUUGAGAAAAAUGGACAUUUUACCUUAUGUGCUAAAUGAUGGUUUUAAAUGAUGUCUUUUUGACUUAAUUCAUCAAAGAUUUUAUCAAAAUAGCAUGACUUGGAUGUUUCAACUAAAUGUACCCUUUUGUAUGUUUUCGCAUAUCCCAUACUUAGUACAUUGUUUGUAAUAACCCAUACUUUUCAAUACUCUAUAAGUACAUGCUAGAUACGAGUUGAAAGGGUAGAAGUCAAAGCCUGGGAAUCGACUCUCUCAAGACUAAGUAUAUCCUCACACAUUCGAGGGUAUAGUAUAUGUUUCUUUAAGUUCUUCCUUAUGACUUAAAUAAGACUUAUUAUGUAUUUUCUUUCAAUGUAAAGGGCCAUGUACCUAUGAUAUUUACGUCAUGUCUUUAAGGUUGUUUGUGACGAUGAGACUAUCCAUAGUAUUUAUAAAAUAUGUUUCUUAUUAUUAUAUUCUUAUGAAAAGUUUUAAUUCCGCGCUACUUUUCAUACUGUAUGCAAUGAAUGAUAGCUAAGAGGCUUGUGUAAGACCUCCGAGUAGUCAAGCACACCAUGUUCUGACCUAAGGGUUGCCCUAACUUCUAGGGUGUACUUGCGGGUCGUAACAAACUUGAUAUCUGAGCAUAAGGUUUGGGAAAUAGCUUAGGGUCCAAGUUCUCAUAAGCCACGUCUAGUAGAUUCUUGUUCAUUGGUGUGAGUCGCGACACAUUUAUGGGCGAGAGGCUAUAAGACGAUAGAUGUUUCACUUUUCUUCAUUUCUCUAGUGUUGUUCCAUUGAGUUGAGUUUUAUAAGUUGAUCUUCUUAACUUGUUCUCUUGGGUUUAUUUGACAUGAAUACAAUGAGGACACUCGCUAGAAGGAAGGAGGGAGAAGUAGCUAAGGAGAGAAUUCCUCUCCGGAAUGAGAAAGUUCCUAUAGUUGACCAAGAGGAGGUGAAUGAAGAGGUUCCCCCUCCGUACCUCAAGGACCUCAAGUGCCCUAAGUUCCCUAAAUGCCCCAAGGUCCGCAAGCUCCCUAUGUUGAAGGGGAUAUGACUAAUGCAGACAUAAGGGCUGCUCCUAGGGUCUUAACCCAACUCAUGAAGACUCAAGCUCAAGUCAUCACUAAUCAUUUGGUUGCCCAAGCUAACAUAGGAGUUGGACCUCAACCACAACCUAAUGCAAGUAAUCCUACCUCUAGAAUCCGGGAUUUCAUGAGGAUGAGCCCUCCCACUUUCCAUGGCACUAAGGUUUAUGAAGAUCCACAAGGCUUCGCAGAUGAGGUGUUCAAAGUGGUGGAUGCUAUGGGUGUGACUCCUAGAGAGAACGCAGAAUUUUCUUACCAAUUAAAAAAUGUGGUACAAGUGUGGUUUGAGCAAUGAGGAGAUGAGAGACCCUUAAGGGAAGGUCCGCUAGAUUGGGAAGUGUUCAAAGUGGAUAUUCUUGAAAGGUUUUCCCCAUUAGAGUUGAGGGAGAGAUAGUUGGUUGAAUUCACGAACUUUUGUCAAGAAGAAAUGAGUGUGAAAGAGUAUUCUCUCAAAUUUACCCAACUCUCUAAGUAUGCCCAAACCUUGGUAGCCGACCCUAGGUCUAGGAUGAAAAAAUUUGUGAUGGGGUGUCUAUCUUGGUGGAAAAAGAAUGUUGUACGACAAUGCUCCUUAACGAUAUGGAUAUCUCUAGAUUCAUGGUGUACGCUCAACAAAUUGAGAUGUCCAAAUAGGGAGAUGACGGGAGAUGGAAAGAGGCCCACAUCGGAUGAAUCAAGUCAACCUAAGUCUAAGAAGAGGUUCAUUGAUCAAGACUCUUCCAUGGGGAAAAGGAUAGGGUUUUCAACAAAAAUUCUCAAAGAGGUGGUAAUUUUUUUGAGAUGCCUAGGUGUACUAGUUGUGCGAAGCAACACUUGGAUAGGUGUCUUUCCGACAUGGACGGUUGCUUUCUAUGUUUUUAUAGGGACCAUAAGAUGUGAGAUUGCCCUAACCGCAAGGCAAAAGGGAAAGAGGUCAACCAAGCUCCUCGUGAUGGUCCAGAUCCCAAUGCUUCAAAGAGGAAUCAUUUCUAUGGUCUCAGAGCUAAAAAAGCGACUAAUCCGAAGUGAUAGUAAGUUAUAAUUGCUUUUGGUUGUUAUGUUUAUGUUAUGAUAGGAGUUUAUAUUGUCGUGUCUCUUAUGUUGUCAUGCCUUCAUGAUUAGAUUUCAAGAAAGAUGAAUUCUUGAAUUUUGAGCAUUCGCUGUAAGGAAUUUCAAAAUUUGAUUAUAUUGAUUUUUUAUUAAUGAUGGUUUCAAUAUGUGUAGAAAUGAUGUGUAAGAGAAUGACUAAUGUUGGAGAAGGUUGUUCCUCCAUAAGUGAUGAAAUAAAUAUGUGGUUUGAAUUGUGGAACUUGUUCCAACUUUCUUAUGUUGCUUAAUGAUGUGACGCUGGUUCUCCUUGUGAGUUUAUUCAUUAAGUAUGAAUGUGUUGAACUUUAUGUAAUGUGUUAUACUUUUCUAGUGGCUUGAUGCCUUUUAACGUAUUUAAGUGUCAUUCGAGGAUGAAUGUUAUCAAGUGGGGGGGGGGGGACUAUUGUUACUCCCUAUAAAUGAAAUAGGUCAAACUAGAGAUUCACAUGUGUUUCAUGAUUUAAUAGAAUAUUAGAAUAGUGUAUUUUAACAUUAGAAGUCAGUUCAUAAUGUUUGGGAGCAUUUGGAAGUCAAACGCCCAAGACGUCAUAAAACUAGUCGAAGUUUAACUAGUAUGUCGUAUUGCUUUAUAGUGAAAUUUAGUGGCAUGUUUUGGGAGUGAAAUUGAGUGUCAAUGUUUCUAUGCGUAUAGGGAUGAACCAAGUGUCAAAAUGUCCGAGUAUGACUUCUCGGGGACCACCGAAGGCCCAAAGGAGGACCCAAACAUGGGUAAAGAUGCUGCCCAAGGAAGCGUGCAGGGGCAGGAUCUGAAGCCCAACCUUGAGACGCGCUCUUGCCACGAGGUAUACUGCCUCAUAAUUUUUGAGAGGCAAAAAUCUUGAGCUUGCCUCGCGAAGUGCAGCCAAGUCCCAGAUUUGGCCGAGACGUUUUCCUGUCAAACAUCAAGUUGGAAAAGGGUCCAAAUAGUGUGGGGGUCUUUUGGUAACUUUGGGGGAUCAUUUUUGGACUUCUUUAGUCCAUUCUAAACCUCUUUUUAUCCAUCAUUUCCAACCCUAAAGAUCAAAUCAAAUUUCUCCAAAAACCUUCGAUCUCUCCAAAAACCUCCGUUGACGAAGCUUCAAACUCGAACGAAGAGAACCAGGUUCUUCAAGUUUUCUUCAUCAAAUUCUAGUGGGUUUCUCCAUAUUAAGGUUGAAGACGAGUUGGAGGGUAGAAGGCAACGCUAGGGAAUCGACUCUCUCAAGAUUAAGUAUAUCCUUACACAUUCGAGGGAUAGUCUAUGUUUCUUUAAGUUUUUCCUUAAACGCUUAAAUAACACUUCUUACGAAUUUUUGUUCAAUGUAAAGGUUCGUGUACCUAAGAUAUUUACGUCAUCUCUUUAAGUUGGCUUGUGACGAUCAGACUAUCCUUAGUAUAUAUAAAAGAUGUUUCUUAUUAUUA